GGGAACUGAAACAUCUAAGUACCCCGAGGAAAAGAAAUCAACCGAGAUUCCCCCAGUAGCGGCGAGCGAACGGGGAGCAGCCCAGAGCCUGAAUCAGUGUGUGUGUUAGUGGAAGCGUCUGGAAAGGCGCGCGAUACAGGGUGACAGCCCCGUACACAAAAAUGCACAUGCUGUGAGCUCGAUGAGUAGGGCGGGACACGUGGUAUCCUGUCUGAAUAUGGGGGGACCAUCCUCCAAGGCUAAAUACUCCUGACUGACCGAUAGUGAACCAGUACCGUGAGGGAAAGGCGAAAAGAACCCCGGCGAGGGGAGUGAAAAAGAACCUGAAACCGUGUACGUACAAGCAGUGGGAGCACAGAGCAAUCUGUGUGACUGCGUACCUUUUGUAUAAUGGGUCAGCGACUUAUAUUCUGUAGCAAGGUUAACCGAAUAGGGGAGCCGAAGGGAAACCGAGUCUUAACUGGGCGUUAAGUUGCAGGGUAUAGACCCGAAACCCGGUGAUCUAGCCAUGGGCAGGUUGAAGGUUGGGUAACACUAACUGGAGGACCGAACCGACUAAUGUUGAAAAAUUAGCGGAUGACUUGUGGCUGGGGGUGAAAGGCCAAUCAAACCGGGAGAUAGCUGGUUCUCCCCGAAAGCUAUUUAGGUAGCGCCUCGUGAAUUCAUCUCCGGGGGUAGAGCACUGUUUCGGCAAGGGGGUCAUCCCGACUUACCAACCCGAUGCAAACUGCGAAUACCGGAGAAUGUUAUCACGGGAGACACACGGCGGGUGCUAACGUCCGUCGUGAAGAGGGAAACAACCCAGACCGCCAGCUAAGGUCCCAAAGUCAUGGUUAAGUGGGAAACGAUGUGGGAAGGCCCAGACAGCCAGGAUGUUGGCUUAGAAGCAGCCAUCAUUUAAAGAAAGCGUAAUAGCUCACUGGUCGAGUCGGCCUGCGCGGAAGAUGUAACGGGGCUAAACCAUGCACCGAAGCUGCGGCAGCGACGCUUAUGCGUUGUUGGGUA
rnacentral:rRNA from 1 species